rnacentral:rRNA from 1 species
ACUGCUCAGUAACACGUGGAUAACAUGCCCUAAGGUGGGGGAUAAUCUCGGGAAACUGAGGAUAAUACCCCAUAGAUCUAAAGCGCUGGAAUGCCUUUAGGUCGAAAACUCCGGUGCCUUAGGAUUGGUCUGCGGUCUAUCAGGCAGUAGUGGGUGUAAUGGACCCACUAGCCCGUGACGGAUAUGGGCCUUGAGAGAGGGUGCCCAGAGAUGGGCUCUGAGACAUGAGUCCAGGCCCUACGGGGCGCAGCAGUCGCGAAAACUUCGCAAUGGGGGAAACCCCGACGAGGGAAUUCCAAGUGCUAGCACUUUGUGUUAGCUGUUCUUCUGUCUAAAAAACAGGAGAAGUAAGGGGCGGGUAAGACGGGUGCCAGCCGCCGCGGUAAUACCCGCGCCCCGAGUGGUGGUCGAUAUUAUUGAGCCUAAAACGUCCGUAGCCGGACUUCUAAAUCCUUGGGUAAAUCGGGCAGCUUAACUGUCCGAAUUCCGGGGAGACUGGGAGUCUUGGGACCGGGAGAGGUCAGAGGUACUUCUGGGGUAGGGGUAAAAUCCUGUAAUCCUGGAAGGACCACCGGUGGCGAAGGCGUCUGACUAGAACGGAUCCGACGGUGAGGGACGAAGCCCUGGGGCGCAAACGGGAUUAGAUACCCCGGUAGUCCAGGGUGUAAACGCUGCGGGCUUGGUGUUGGGGGUCCUUAGUGGGCGCCCAGUGCCGGAGAGAAGUUGUUAAGCCUGCUGCUUGGGGAGUAUGUCCGCAAGGAUGAAACUUAAAGGAAUUGGCGGGGGAGCA